rnacentral:rRNA from 1 species
GAUGAACGCUGGCGGCGUGCCUAAUACAUGCAAGUCGAGCGAACAGACGAGGAGCUUGCUCCUCUGACGUUAGCGGCGGACGGGUGAGUAACACGUGGAUAACCUACCUAUAAGACUGGGAUAACUUCGGUAAACCGGAGCUAAUACCGGAUAAUAUAUUGAACCGCAUGGUUCAAUAGUGAAAUACGGUUUUGCUGUCACUUAUAGAUGGAUCCGCGCCGCAUUAGCUAGUUGGUAAGGUAACGGCUUACCAAGGCGACGAUGCGUAGCCGACCUGAGAGGGUGAUCGGCCACACUGGAACUGAGACACGGUCCAGACUCCUACGGGAGGCAGCAGUAGGGAAUCUUCCGCAAUGGGCGAAAGCCUGACGGAGCAACGCCGCGUGAGUGAUGAAGGUCUUCGGAUCGUAAAACUCUGUUAUUAGGGAAGAACAAAUGUGUAAGUAACUAUGCACGUCUUGACGGUACCUAAUCAGAAAGCCACGGCUAACUACGUG